rnacentral:sRNA from 1 species
ACCUUUGGUGGUAGCCUCUGCUAUUAUUCCUUUUCAGGUACACAUGUCAGUCCAAGGGAGCGCCUCGAGUCUCAACCCUGACCUGUGCAUCAAAUCUCUAUUUUUAAACUCUGAUGACUUCAGGUGCUUUUUCUUGCUUUGGCUUGAAACUGACCAGGAAAAGAUUAUUACAUCACUGAGAACAGCGGUGGCUACAUAACUUAUAGUUGGAUCAAAAGAAAAUUCGAGGGAUUUUUCUUGCCCAACAACGUGAAUAUGACUAUUGUUGUUAAGAAAAGCGUUGGUGAUUUAUCGCCAUCAUAAAAAAAAAAAAAAAAAUCGACCCUAGCUCUUUCGCAUGAAAACCACUCCUCCUUACGGGCUAGGCUGUGUUCCACAUUAGCACGCUGCAAGAUGAAGAAAAAUGGAGG